GACGAACGCUGGCGGCGUGCCUAAUACAUGCAAGUUGAGCGCUGAAGGUUGGUACUUGUACCAACUGGAUGAGCAGCGAACGGGUGAGUAACGCGUGGGGAAUCUGCCUUUGAGCGGGGGACAACAUUUGGAAACGAAUGCUAAUACCGCAUAAAAACUUUAAACACAAGUUUUAAGUUUGAAAGAUGCAAUUGCAUCACUCAAAGAUGAUCCCGCGUUGUAUUAGCUAGUUGGUGAGGUAAAGGCUCACCAAGGCGAUGAUACAUAGCCGACCUGAGAGGGUGAUCGGCCACAAUGGGACUGAGACACGGCCCAAACUCCUACGGGAGGCAGCAGUAGGGAAUCUUCGGCAAUGGACGAAAGUCGGACCGAGCAACGCCGCGUGAGUGAAGAAGGUUUUCGGAUCGUAAAACUCUGUUGGUAGAGAAGAACGUUGGUGAGAGUGGAAAGCUCAUCAAGUGACGGUAACUACCCAGAAAGGGACGGCUAACUACGUG
rnacentral:rRNA from 1 species